GGAAAUCACGGGUUUACGUU
rnacentral:snRNA from 1 species